GAGACACGGCCCAGACUCCAACGGGAGGCAGCAGUAGGGAAUCUUCCGCAAUGGACGAAAGUCUGACGGAGCAACGCCGCGUGAGUGAUGAAGGUUUUCGGAUCGUAAAGCUCUGUUGUUAGGGAAGAACAAGUGCAAGAGUAACUGCUUGCACCUUGACGGUACCUAACUUGCAAGCCACGGCUAUCUACGUGCCAGCAGCCGCGGUAAUACGUAGGUGGCAAGCGUUGUCCGGGAAUUAUUGCGCGUAAAGAGCUCGCAGGCGGUUUCUUAAGUCUGAUGUGAAAGCCCCCGGCUCAACCGGGGAGGGUCAUUGGAAACUGGGAAACUUGAGUGCAGAAGAGGAGAGUGGAAUUCCACGUGUAGCGGUGAAAUGCGUAGAGAUGUGGAGGAACACCAGUGGCGAAGGCGACUCUCUGGUCUGUAACUGACGCUGAGGAGCGAAAGCGUGGGGAGCGAACAGGAUUAGAUACCCUGGUAGUCCACGCCGUAAACGAUGAGUGCUAAGUGUUAGGGGGUUUCCGCCCCUUAGUGCUGCAGCUAACGCAUUAAGCACUCCGCCUGGGGAGUACGGUCGCAAGACUGAAACUCAAAGGAAUUGACGGGGGCCCGCACAAGCGGUGGAGCAUGUGGUUUAAUUCGAAGCAACGCGAAGAACCUUACCAGGUCUUGACAUCCUCUGACAACCCUAGAGAUAGGGCUUUCCCUUCGGGGACAGAGUGACAGGUGGUGCAUGGUUGUCGUCAGCUCGUGUCGUGAGAUGUUGGGUUAAGUCCCGCAACGAGCGCAACCCUUGAUCUUAGUUGCCAGCAUUCAGUUGGGCACUCUAAGGUGACUGCCGGUGACAAACCGGAGGAAGGUGGGGAUGACGUCAAAUCAUCAUGCCCCUUAUGACCUGGGCUACACACGUGCUACAAUGGACAGAACAAAGGGCUGCGAGACCGCAAGGUUUAGCCAAUCCCACAAAUCUGUUCUCAGUUCGGAUCGCAGUCUGCAACUCGACUGCGUGAAGCUGGAAUCGCUAGUAAUCGCGGAUC
rnacentral:rRNA from 1 species